rnacentral:rRNA from 1 species
AAGAGGUCCUGCCUGCCCUGUGAAUUAUUUUUAACGGCCGCGGUAUCUUGACCGUGCAAAGGUAGCGUAAUCACUUGUCUUUUAAAUGAAGACCCGUAUGAACGGCAAAACGAGGGCUUAACUGUCUCCUUCCUUUAGUCAAUGAAAUUGAUCCCCUCGUGCAGAAGCGAGGAUAAAAACAUAAGACGAGAAGACCCUAUGGAGCUUUAGACAAAACAGCAGAUCAUGUAAAGACUCUUUAUACAAGAGUAAAACCAAACGACCCCUGCUACAAUGUCUUUGGUUGGGGCGACCCCGGAGAAAUAAAAAACCCCCGAGCGGAGUGAAGAUACCCUCUCCAUAAACAAGAGCCGCAGCUCAAAAAACCAGAACUUCUGACCAAAAGAUCCGACACAAUCGAUCAACGGACCAAGUUACCCUAGGGAUAACAGCGCAAUCCCCUUCCAGAGCCCCUAUCGACAAGGGGGUUUACGACCUCGAUGUUGGAUCAGGACAUCCUAAUGGUGCAGCCGCUAUUAAGGGUUCGUUUGUUCAACGAUUAAAGUCCU